GAGGAAAUGGGCUCCUAUCCCACAAAAUACUUUUCCAGCGCUACACUGGUACAGAACAGACACUUCUGAAAGAUUUAACUGGAAACAGAAUAAUGAAUACACCAACAGACAGGUUUUCCCCUGGACAGAAUUGGGUGGAAAGAAGGAAGAAGAAAAGCCUUUUAUUUCUGCAGGACAUAGCCAAAUGCACAAAAGAGGUACUGUGUGUUCCUGACUUGCUGGGUAGCUGGUUACCUGAUGAGUGCUCAUGGAAGAGAUGA
rnacentral:lncRNA from 1 species